GAUGAAGAACGUAGCGAAAUGCGAUAAGUAAUGUGAAUUGCAGAAUUCAGUGAAUCAUCGAAUCUUUGAACGCACAUUGCGCCCCUUGGUAUUCCGAGGGGCAUGCCUGUUCGAGCGUCAUUACACCACUCAAGCACUGCUUGGUAUUGGGCACUCGUCCGUCGAAAGACGGGCGUGCCUCGAAGACCUCGGCGGGGUUUCUCCAACUUCGGGCGUAGUAGAGUUAAAUCAAAACGUCUUAUAAGCUUGGUGAGAUCUCAUUGCCGUUAAACCUUUUUUUUUCAGGUUGACCUCGGAUCAGGUAGGGAUACCCGCUGAACUUAAGCAUAUCAUAAGCGGAGGA
rnacentral:misc_RNA from 1 species